rnacentral:snoRNA from 1 species
AAACCAUGGUGUGGGCAUUGAGCUUGGUAGCCCUUGAAUCUCUCCCAGGCUUCACUGAAGCCUUCCAAGUUCUUCUGCUGAAAGCUAGAAAUUUCAUUUCUCAGCAU